AAUUCGAUGCAACGCGAGACCUUACCUGGCUUGAACUGCAGGUAUAGCUGCCUGAAAGGUUAGUGAGUCCCCUUCGGGGAACCUGUAGAGGUGCUGCAUGGCUGUCGUCAGCUCGUGUCGUGAGAUGUUGGGUUAAGUCCCGCAACGAGCGCAACCCUUGCCAUUAGUUGUCAGCGAGUCAUGUCGGAUACUCUAAUGGGACUGCCGGUGACGAGCCGGAGGAAGGUGGGGAUGACGUCAAGUCAGCAUGGCCUUUAUGUCCAGGGCCACACACGUGCUACAAUGGACGGUACAGAGGGACGCAAGACCGCAAGGUGGAGCAAAUCCUCAAAACCGUUCUCAGUUCGGAUUGUAGGCUGCAAUUCGCCUACAUGAAGCUGGAAUUGCUAGUAAUCGCAGAUCAGCUACGCUGCGGUGAAUACGUUCUCGGGCCUU
rnacentral:rRNA from 1 species